rnacentral:lncRNA from 1 species
AUUACUUAUUAGUUACUUGUUUCUAACCCUCUCACCCCCUAGACUAUAAGCGCCUAAAGUGAGAGACCAUGUCUUUCCAGCAUGGUGCCUAGCAUGUCAUAAGUGCUCAUAAGGGUGCUGAGUGCUUUUCAAUGAACUUAACUGUUCUGUGUCAGUUUCUUCCCCUGUAAAAUGGAAGUCUAUCCAUUUAUCCACCCACAUACUUUCUCACCAUUCACUAGAAAACCUACUAGGUUAAGUGCUGUAUGGGGCACAGAGACACAUAAUCUGUGACUUACCUAAAACAAUAUUCCCUGCCUUCCUCCCAGAAUCAUAAAGAAGAACAAAGAGAUCUUGUGUAUGAAUGAGCUUCAGAAACUGUAUGUGCUACCGGAGGCCUCCCAAGCAGUGAAGGUGUAUUAACUAAGUAUGAAAGGUCCAGAGAGCCUUAAAGAACAUGAGAGCCGAAGUCUGGCCCAUGAAGAAAUUCUCCCAUAGCAGGCCACUGAAAGAUGAUUACCGUCCCUUGUGGAAAGAAUUGCAGUCCCAGCUGAUUGAUGUGCAUCAAUGACAUGUUGAUGUCAAAGAAGACGAUGUAAGCCGAGUGUCAUGGAUGCCCAUAAUCCUGGUUGUUCAGGAGACUGAGGCAGGAGGAUCCCUUGAGCCAAGAAGUUCAAGACUAGUCUGG